GUGUUGGGAAAGACAUUUGACCAGGGUGGGCUCUGGUUCACGUUCCACCUCCUUGCCUUAGGCUCUGGGAGCUGAGAGGGAGCACCAUAGCUGGAGUCUGAGGGUGGCUGGCCCUCACUACAAACAGCUGAGUGAAGGAGGAAGGAAGAGAGAUUGAACGAGUAGCUCGGGCCCCAGAGGAAGUUGAAAGCCAGGCCACGGAGUGACAGUUCUUGGGGGCCCUACUGCAGCUCCCUUCCUGUCCCCCCGGCUGCUGUCAGUGGGGAGCACACAGGUCCUGGGAAAGCAAACUGGCUCAGAGAGGCUGAAUAGCCUGCUUGAGAUGACACAGCUUGCGGGUGGCUGAGUUGGCCUUCCCACCCAGAUUUCCGUCAUGAGGUUCCUCCAGCCGACAGGGGCCUCGGUGAGGAACUUGUCACAGCUCCGUCAGCCCGGCCCCCUUCCUCCUCUCUGGCCCCACAGGCUGGGCACAACAACAGUCACCUGGUGAUCUCGGGCUGCCUUCAGUGAGUCACCCUGCCCACAGCGAGCCUGGCUGGACGAUGUUAUCAGCUCCCCGCUUACUUAAUUCCUCGGCUGACAUCACCACCGCCUCCGUCUUCUCCUUCUCGGCACUGUAGCCUGCAGCCUGGCGUAUCCUGGAAGGGAAGGCGGUGGAGGUCUCUUGCCAGAAACUAGCAGGGCAGGUAAAUUGGGACCUUCAGUUCCUUGGCCUUUAGCCCCAAGGGGUGUGGCCUGGCUUCUUGCUUUGCACGAAGGGGCCUCAGUUUACCUCCCAGGAGGUGCUCUUUGCUGUGAAGUCCUGGGAAGCACAUGACGGCCCCGCUCCAUGCUCAUCUCCUCUCUCCUUGUGCAGAGGGGGUCCUGUCAGACAGAGGCCUUCAUGGAGGCCAAGCUGCUUGCCCUGCUAUGUGUCCAAGUGUAUCCUGGUGUCGUACCCCCAAGUCCCGCCUCAGUUCUGUCUAGCAUGGGCCCCUGCCUCUGAGCUUCUAUGAUAGGCUCAGAUGGGGCAGCCUUGCUGGCCUUCUGCCCACCUCUGUUACUGGGCCACCAUGCCCUGGAACUCAGCCCCUCGCCUCCUGGGAGCCCAGGCCAGCCCUUCCCCAUCACAGCCUAGCAUUCCCUCUUGCCUCCCUUCACCUUGACCCCUCCCAGUGCCAACCUGCAGUCCCAGUGGCACAUGGGUAGGGUCAGUAGAGCAGUGACAGAAGUGACCAGAGACGCAUGUGUUUCCAUUUCAGCCAGGUCUCUGCCUCUGCAUCCCAGUAGGAUGAGGGAGGGAAUUCGUUCCUCUCCCUGAACUGUCCUACUCUACCCCUUCCCCACCAUUGGAGCCGGACAGCAGAGCCGGGAGGCUGAGAGAGCCCAGGGAGGGGCUGAGCACAGACCUCCUGGGCUGGACCUCCAUCUGUGAUGGGAAGCUGCCCAAGCCUGGCAUUCGAGGGAGGCAGUGAGGGGAAGUGGGUGGGGCUGGGCAGGGACAAGGGGCAACCCUCGGAGCUGCCAGACAGCUUCCUCUAUGACCCUCAGGGGACACUUCCUCCAGUGGCACUGCCAGAGUCUGGGGAAAGAGUUGUCUAAACACCAGUCACCUUUACUCUAGUUAUUUGACCAAAACAAAUUGUUCCUUAGAAGGAAAAAGAAAAAAACUGAAACCCCAAAACCCCAACAUUGAUGUCAUGCUGAUCACCCUGUGAGCUGAGUCCUGGUACAGAGAGCACCCCUGGGGAGGGCGGGUACCCCCCUCAUUCUUCCCAUGGGAAGGGGAUCAGAGGUUGGCCCCGCCACUCUGCACAUAGACGCUGCUGCUGCCUCCACAUGCUGGAAUGCUGUAGAAUGCUGUUCUAACCUUCUGGAGUGGGGGGCUCCAGAGAGAGGUCAGAGCAACCCUGGGCUCGUCCCCAAACACACCACUCUCAGCGGACAGAUGUUUCUUCGCCUGUUGAGUAGAGGAGCUAUUGAGAUAUUAAGUGUGAAAGUGUACUGAGAGGCUGGGGCCCUGUAGAGAAGGGAAAGGGGAGAGGGAAAAUUGCAGAAAAGAGACCCCACCUCAAUGAUUUAAGGUCUGUGGACAACAUCUGGCCUCAGCUCUGUUAGGCUCCCUUUAAGUCCUGAGUUGAGUUCUUAUUAAUGCUUCUAGUGAAGUGCACACCUUGACAGUGAUUGGCACCUCUGCUGCACUUGGCUUGUAGUCUGCUCAGACCCUUGGCUCCUGGAAUAAAACCUAACCAGAAUUAA